rnacentral:rRNA from 1 species
UACGGAGGGUGCAAGCGUUGCUCGGAAUCAUUGGGCGUAAAGCGUACGCAGGCUGUUCGUUAAGUCGGGUGUGAAAGCCCGGGGCUCAACCCCGGAACUGCGCCCGAAACUGGCGAGCUUGAGUGCGGGAGAGGGAAGCGGAAUUCCUGGUGUAGAGGUGAAAUUCGUAGAUAUCAGGAGGAACACCGGUGGCGAAAGCGGGUCUCUGGGCAACAACUGACGCUGAGGAGCGAAAGCGUGGGGAGCGAACAGG